rnacentral:rRNA from 1 species
UACGAAGGGGACUAGCGUUGUUCGGAAUCACUGGGCGUAAAGCGCACGUAGGCGGAUGUGUGAGUCAGGGGUGAAAUCCCGGGGCUCAACCUCGGAACUGCCUUUGAUACAGCACGUCUCGAGUCCGGAAGAGGUGGGUGGAAUUCCUAGUGUAGAGGUGAAAUUCGUAGAUAUUAGGAAGAACACCGGUGGCGAAGGCGGCCCACUGGUCCGGUACUGACGCUGAGGUGCGAAAGCGUGGGGAGCAAACAGG